CAGGGUUUCCUAAUGUAAUAGUCAAGGUGGAAGAAGAGGAAAAGCUGAAUGAGCGUGAAGUAGAGACUUUCUCAAGGACCAGCUCAGGAUUUCUGGACAUUGCCAUAAAGUCAGAGAAGGAAGAAGGGUUUUGCAACCAGGGAUCGGAGGAAAGCAGAGAUGCUGCUCUUCGCCAGUCAGGAUUUCUUGAUGUUGUCGUAAAGCCAGAGGAGGAAGAGCAGACGUGCAAACAGGAAUCCGUAGAAAGUGCAAGAGUUGCCUGGGACC